rnacentral:sRNA from 1 species
UGUAUUUUUAUUCAGCAGAUUUUGUUAGGGUUCAUUUGGUUGACACGUUGAAGUACGUGACAAAGAGAAUAUUACAGCAUUUGUGAUGUGGUGUUCUUGAGAUGGAGGUUCCGUGGGAGACUGAAGAAUAUCUCCUUCCAUAAGAACCUAAUUGUGAGGGAUGUGUAUGAAAGAUAAAGGCUGAAAUGAAAUGAGAUGGCAAAUUAGCCCCUGCCAUUGGGGUUUACUAAGGAAC